rnacentral:misc_RNA from 1 species
GAAAUGCGAUAAUUAAUGUGAAUUGCAGAAUUCAGUGAAUCAUCGAGUCUUUGAACGCACAUUGCGCCCCCUGGUAUUCCGGGGGGCAUGCCGGUCCGAGCGUCAUUGCUGCCCUCAAGCACGGCUUGUGUGUUGGGCUUCCGUCCCUGGCAACGGGGACGGGCCCAAAAGGCAGUGGCGGCACCAUGUCUGGUCCUCGAGCGUAUGGGGCUUUGUCACCCGCUCCCGUAGGUCCAGCUGGCAGCUAGCCUCGCAACCAAUCUUUUUAACCAGGUUGACCUCGGAUCAGGUAGGGAUACGCGCUGAACAUAAGC